GAUGAACGCUGGCGGCGUGCCUAAUACAUGCAAGUCGAGCGAACAGACGAGGAGCUUGCUCCUCUGACGUUAGCGGCGGACGGGUGAGUAACACGUGGAUAACCUACCUAUAAUACUGGGAUAACUUCGGGAAACCGGAGCUAAUACCGGAUAAUAUCUUGAACCGCAUGGUUCAAUAGUGAAAGACGGUUUUGCUGUCACUUAUAGAUGGAUCCGCGCCGCAUUAGCUAGUUGGUAAGGUAACGGCCUACCAAGGCAACGAUGCGUAGCCGACCUGAGAGGGUGAUCGGCCACACUAGAGCUGAGACACGGACCAGACUCCUACGGGAGGCAGCAGUAGGGAAUGUGACGCAAUGGGCGAAAGCAUGACGGAGCAACGCGGCGUGAGUGAGGAAGGUCUUCGGAUCGUAAAACUCGGUUAUUAGGGAAGAACAAAUGUGUAAGUAACUAUGCACGUCUUGACGGUACCUAAUCAGAAAGCCACGGCUAACUACGUG
rnacentral:rRNA from 1 species